UACGUAGGGGGCAAGCGUUGUCCGGAAUCAUUGGGCGUAAAGAGCGUGUAGGCGGCCCGGUAAGUCCGCUGUGAAAGUCGGGGGGCUCAACCCUCGAAUGCCGGUGGAUACUGUGGGGCUAGAGUCCGGAAGAGGCGAGUGGAAUUCCUGGUGUAGCGGUGGAAUGCGCAGAUAUCAGGAGGAACACCAAUAGCGAAGGCAGCUCGCCGGGACGGUACUGACGCUAAGGCGCGAAAGCGUGGGGAGCGAACAGG
rnacentral:rRNA from 1 species